rnacentral:tRNA from 1 species
GCGGGGUCGUAGCGCAGAGGCAGUCGCACCGGUCUCCAGAACCGGAACACGCCGGUUCGAAUCCGGCCGCCCCGCCCC